AUUGAACGCUGGCGGCAUGCUUUACACAUGCAAGUCGAACGGCAGCACGGGUGCUUGCACCUGGUGGCGAGUGGCGGACGGGUGAGUAAUACAUCGGAACGUGUCCAGAAGAGGGGGGAUAACGCAUCGAAAGAUGUGCUAAUACCGCAUAUGCUCUGAGGAGGAAAGUGGGGGAUCGAAAGACCUUACGCUUUUGGAGCGGCCGAUGUCUGAUUAGCUAGUUGGUGGGGUAAGGGCCUACCAAGGCGACGAUCAGUAGCGGGUCUGAGAGGAUGAUCCGCCACACUGGGACUGAGACACGGCCCAGACUCCUACGGGAGGCAGCAGUGGGGAAUUUUGGACAAUGGGCGCAAGCCUGAUCCAGCAAUGCCGCGUGAGUGAAGAAGGCC
rnacentral:rRNA from 1 species